CUACAAUGGCGUAAACAAAGGGAAGCGAGACGGUGACGUUAAGCAAAUCCCAAAAAUAACGUCCCAGUUCGGAUUGUAGUCUGCAACUCGACUACAUGAAGCUGGAAUCGCUAGUAAUCGCGAAUCAGAAUGUCGCGGUGAAUACGUUCCCGGGUCUUGUACACACCGCCCGUCACACCAUGGGAGUCGGAAAUGCCCGAAGUCAGUGACCUAACCGAAAGGGAGGAGCUGCCGAAGGUGGAGCCGGUAACUGGGGUGAAGUCGUAACAAGGUAGC
rnacentral:rRNA from 1 species